AUACGUAGGUGACAAGCGUUAUCCGGAUUUACUGGGCGUAAAGGGCGUGUAGGCGGUCUUGCAAGUCAGAAGUGAAAUUCCUGAGCUCAACUCGGGCGCUGCUUCUGAAACUGCAGGACUUGAGUGCUGGAGGGGAUAGCGGAAUUCCUAGUGGAGCGGUAAAAUGCGCAGAUAUUAGGAAGAACACCGGUGGCGAAGGCGGCUAUCUGGACAGUAACGGACGCUGAGGCGCGAAAGCGUGGGGAGCAAACAGGAUUAGAUACCCUGGUAGUCCACGCCGUAAGCGAUGAAUACUAGGUGUAGGGGGUAUCGACUCCCUCUGUGCCGCAGUUAACACAAUAAGUAUUCCGCCUGGGGAGUACGGCCGCAAGGUUGAAACUCAAAUGAAUUGACGGGG
rnacentral:rRNA from 1 species